GGCUGAUCUGAGUGCAAUGAUGUUUACAACCAAUUUAUCACAACCAAUUGCAGAUUCCUUCAUUCUUUCUCUACUCCUGCUGCUUCACUUGACUAGACUAAA
rnacentral:Y_RNA from 1 species